AUUUACUUUUGCAGAAUAAUCACCACCACUGAUCUGCCUCCAACAACUACUUCUGAGAAGAUGUACACGCCCUCACCACCUACAGAAACAACAGAAGACGAAAGUAUUUUCAACCUUUCUCCUACAAUGGGGGCUUGUCCUGUCCUCAUCUUUCCACUGGCUUUGAUGCUUUUGCUGCCCUGAUGAACAUCUCCAAUGCAUCUUUUAUUAUUCAUUAUUAUACGAACAUCUACUGCAAAGAUACAAAGAGAAGAUUGAAAAAUAAAUGUUAACGGCUUAAAUUUUGGGUAGGUAGU
rnacentral:lncRNA from 1 species